rnacentral:misc_RNA from 1 species
GUGAAUCAUCAAAUCUUUGAACGCAUCUUGCACUAUCUGGUAUUCCGGAGAGUAUGCCUAUUUGAGGGUCAUUUGAAAUAAUAUAAAUUUCGUGAUUUUCUUGAUAUUAAAAAUGGGUUGGUGAAGUUUUCGUGUGGUGGUCGCCUAAAAUGCAAGACAAGCUCAUUGAUUGGGUUGCGUGAUACUUUCAGUUACGUGGUGU